rnacentral:lncRNA from 1 species
AAGGUCGGAGAUGGACUCGAUCUUCCGUGACUCGACGCCGAAAGCUCCGCUGUGGGAGGAAGUUUCCAGGUCAGCUCCAUUUUCUCUCUCUAGAUCUGCUCGCUUGAUUUUUUUUUCUCAAAGCUAAAUUCGAAUUCGAAUUCUCAGAAUCACUAAACACCCAACUCUACCCAUUUAGAUCUUUUUUCGAUUCGUGGCGAAAUGAUGAUCUUAUCUCUAAGCACAGAAAGAGAGGAGGAUCUCCCAAUCAUUUUCUUCUUCACUUCUCUCAAUCCAUCAAUUAAUUUUUUGCCAGUUCAUCUCUUUGCUGCUUUUCUCUCUCUUUAGUACUCUCAACCGCAAAACCAGCCGUCGGUGGAGCGAAAAUUACUUCCCUGAUAUCUUGGUUUUGAACGAUAAAAUUUUACGUAAAAUUUUCAAAAUUAAAAUUUUUGUUCAAUAUGUAUUUUCGAAUUUCGUCAAAUGCACUUUCAAAUUACUCGCUCUAAAUUUAAAAUUCUACCGGAUAUCCAAAACUAUCCUAGUUACGUUAUUGCUCGAAUAUCAAAAUUCCGUUCAGGGAAGAUUAGUGGAGAUGGUACUUGGUAGUGGAAACUGGCUGGAUAUAAUUUGAAUUUUUCUCAUUUAGAUUAAUGACAAUAAUUUUUUUUUAAAUUUUGAUGGGAUUCAUAAUAGAAAUAUACAUGUGACACCAACGCCAGCAUCUCCAGCUCAAUAACUAUUACUCAAGAAAUGAAAUCAUAAAAAUUAUCGGUGCAUGGGUGCUGGUAUGAUUACAUUGAGAGACGAAAAAAUUUAUUACUAUUGAUUUUUAAUCAAAUUUGAGACAGACAAAAUAGUAACAUGUAAUUUGUGGGAUAUAUUACAUUUUACAUGUCGAGGUGAUAUAUUAGUUGUCUACUGUUAUUAUUUAUUUGUACAUAAUAUAUGUAUUUUUUGUUGUUUAAUUCAGGAAAUUGGGUGAGCUGGGGUACAAAAGAAGCGCC